rnacentral:rRNA from 1 species
UACGAGGGGGGCAAAUGUUGUUCGGAUUCAUUGGGCGUAAAGGGUGCGUAGGCGGCGCGGUAAGUCGGGUGUGAAAUCUCGGAGCUUAACUCCGAAACUGCAUUCGAUACUGCCGUGCUUGAGGACUGGAGAGGAGACUGGAAUUUACGGUGUAGCGGUGAAAUGCGUAGAUAUCGUAAGGAAGACCAGUGGCGAAGGCGGGUCUCUGGACAGUUCCUGACGCUGAGGCAUGAAGGUCAGGGGAGCAAACGGGG